GAGGCAGAGCAAAUCUCAAAAAGCCGUCCCAGUUCGGAUUGCAGGCUGCAACCCGCCUGCAUGAAGUUGGAAUCGCUAGUAAUCGCGGAUCAGCAUGCCGCGGUGAAUACGUUCCCGGGCCUUGUACACACCGCCCGUCACACCAUGAGAGUCGGGAACACCCGAAGUCCGUAGCCUAACCGCAAGGGGGGCGCGGCCGAAGGUGGGUCCGAUAAUUGGGGUGAAGUCGUAACAAGGUACC
rnacentral:rRNA from 1 species